UGUGGCAUAUGGAGGUCCUCAGGCUAGGGGUCGAAUCAGAGCUACAGCUGCUGGCCUGCACCACAGCCACAGCAACGUCAGAUCUGAGCCACAUCUGCAAUCUACACCACAGUUCAUGGCAUCUUCGGAUCCUUAACCCACUGACAGAGGCCAGGGAUCGAACCCACAACCUCAUGGUUACUAGUUACUAGUUGGAUUUGCUUCCACUGCACCACAACAGGAACCCCCAUUGAUUCUUAUUAAUGUUCCCACUCUGAUACUGAAUAAUAAUGAUGAUAAUGACAACAGCUACCUCUUACAUGCUCACUGCAUGACAGGGUCUAGGCUAACUUAUUAUUACAUAAAUUCUUCAUGAUUGGAACAAAUCUGUGUGUUAAAUAUUAUUAUUACUAGUCUAUAGAUGAAGAAACUGAGGCCCAGAAACAUUAGAUAAACUGUAUGAAGUUGCACAGCUAAGUAACAGGGUAAAGGGAAUGCAACCCUGCUUCACUUCUUCCACUUUCUAGCUAUCAAAAUCUGAAAUUCUUCCUUUUUUCCCUAUAAUGCACUAUCCUUCCACCAUUCAAGAGUGUCUGUUCAGGAACACUUCAAGAUGAAACCUGCAAUUUAAUCCACGAAUAUUUACUGAGUGCCCAUCUUCAUACUUCCUUCAAAUCAUACACAGAUUUACUGAGGGCCUGCUGUGUGUUAGGUUCUGUUCUAGGUGCUGAGGAUACACUAGUGAACAACACACACAAAAAUCCCUGCCCUGUGGAGCAUAACAUUCUACAGGGGCAGAAAGACAGUAAACAUAAGAAAUAAGAAAUAGGGUGAUGGGAGUUCCCGUCGUGGCUCAGUGGUUAACGAAUCCAACUAGGAACCAUGAGGUUGCGGGUUCAAUCCCUGGCUUUGCUCAGUGGGUUAAGGAUCCGGUGUUGCCAUGAGCUGUGGUACUAGUUGGGUUCAUUACUGCUGAGCCACAAUGGGAACUCUGAGGAUUGCAAUUUUAAGUGUUACAAAAAGAUAGUAUUGAGCAAAGACUUUCUAAGGAUGUGAUGGUCAGUUUUAUAUGUCAACUUGGCUGGGCCACAGUACCUAGGUAUUUAAUCAAAUGCUAAUCUAGGUGUUACUGUGAAGCUAUUCUGAAGCUGUGGUUAACAUCUAUAAGCUGUACAGGAGACCACCUUCCAUAGUGUGGGUGGGUCUCAUCCAAUCACUUGAGAGGCCUUAAAAGCAAAGCUCAGGUUUCCCCGUGAUAGAAGUUCUGUCCCCAAACUGCAACAUCAGCUUCUACUCGAGUUUCCAAUCUGCCCUACAGACUUUAGGCUUGCCAGUGCCCAAAAUUACAGAAGCCAAUUCCUCAAAACAAAUCUUCGUAUAUCUUAUAUAUAUGUGUGUGCCCCACUAUAUUUACAUAUAGGUAUGUGUAUACUGUACACAUAGUAGUAGAUAUGCAUAUAUGUAUAGUCUGUAUACAUGUUGUAUACUUACUAAUAUAUGCAUAUUAUGGUGUAUAUAUGUAUACAAUACACUUGUAUAUAUAUACAAUACACUUGUAUACAUAUGUAUACAAUAUACAUGUGUAUAAACACACACCUCUGACAGGCUAUGCUUCUCUGGAGAACUCUGAUACAUGGGGUAGGAGUGUUCCAGGCAGAAGGGACAUAAAAGCAAAGGUACCAUGUGCUGGACACCAUGACAGGCAUCACGCAGACAACUGUGAACAACACAGAUGUGGCUCUUACCUUCCUCAAUCUUAGCGACAAGAUAGAGAUACUGCAAACUGACCCGUAUGUCUCCUCCAGAUUUUCAGACUCUUCCCAGAUUCACUGGCCUUACUCUUCAGCCUUGACCCCAUGGUCACUAAUUUCAACUUUUCUUUUAACUGACAUUCCUAGUUCCCCUGGCCUUUCAUUACAUUUGCCAAAUUACCACCAUUACUAAUAUACUUUGGAGUGUUAUGGAGUUUAAGAACUAUAUUCACAACAAUGAAUAUAGUUUAAAAUAAUAAUUUUAAUUGUCUUCACAAAAACUGUCAUGUGGGGAGGAAAGGUUAUUUCACAGAUGAGAAAACAGGGAUUCAGAGGUAAACUAACCUGUAUGAAAUUACAGAGUUAAUAAAUAGCAAAGCUGGGUCUCAACCAACCAUCCAUCUUUCUUCUCAACAAGAACACAUUUCUUGAACAAGCGACUUGUGGUCAACUGUAAUUGUUCACCUCCCACCUUCAUUCACUCCUCAACUUGCCAUUUCCCUCUGACAGUCCCUCACUCCUGUACUGGUAAGUUUCUACUUUCACUGGGGGAGGGGGGGGAGGGACUGCGGUUUCCCAUGUAUUACAUUUAUUUAAGUGUGUCAUACUACAUUUAUAAUUACAUAUAUUAAGGGUGUCAGUCAAGCAGUGCGUUUUAUUUGCCCUUAAAUACAGGUAUUCGUCCAAGGUUGUCUUCAGCGCACAUUAACAAUUAUGAGCUGAAAGAUCAUAAAAAUAGAGAUCCCAGGCCCAAUUGAAACCAAGUGCAAAACUCUAACUAGCUUUCAAGAAGCGCGCCCGGAUUUCCAGGUUAAAACAUCUGCCUUGCAGACUCCUAAAACAAUAUUCCAACUCCCCGAGAAAUGCCUGCGAAGAUAUAGAGAAAAAAAAAAAAAAAUCCGCUACUCCAACAAAAUCCAGAACUGUCAGCCUCUUUUACGCGCAGGGAGGGAUGGGGGACAACUCCCAAGACGAGCUUACUGCAACCAGACAAGCGCAAGCCGCGACCACCUGUGUAAGGC
rnacentral:lncRNA from 1 species